UAUAAUAAUAUUAAUAUUAAGUUAACACGUUCACGGACAAUUGAUGGUUGGAAAAUAUUUUGAUAUGACACCUAAAAAUCCCAUACAUUUUAUCGUUCCGCCUUGAAACGUA